GCCCCGGUCGCACGAGAGCUUUUCUAUUACCUGCCCACGAAACGUGCGCAAGCAUCACUGCUGUAUUUUAUCGCUGAUCAGUGCGCUUUUAUGUUCUCAGUACUUGCUGCCGGGAACCUCCCCGUGGUAUCGCAGGGCCCAGCGACCACACUCUCUGUGGAACCCGUGAGCCUGCAGCCUGCCCUUGGGGGCACGGAGGCGGGCGCUUGGUGUCGGCGGACAGGCCUGAGCUGGCGCUGUGCCGAGGGGACCUGCGGGCCGUGAUGCGGGUUGGACGAGGCCACAGCGGAUGGCGUCUGCGAUGCAACAAGUGUGCGCGCGCCGCUGGCCCGUCGCGUGCGCCCGCCAUUUCAGUACGUCUUUGGUCGUUGUGAAUGGGGGCACAACGGCACGGUGGACGGGCUUGCAAGAUCGGGCGUGCCAGAGGAGCGGACGGCGGCUGCACGAGCUGCGGAAUUGGCCACUGCUCUGAGGCGCCAGGCCGACAUCCCCCGCAGCCGUGGUACGCGCGCUGCGACAAGAGCACGUUGGCGGCAGCUGCCCCACCCCAGAGGAGCAAGGAUGCUGCGCUUGCGGGACGGCAGGGGACGAUCCUGGCGCAGCUGCGCGCGGGCGUCUGUCCUUGCUGCAGAUUCGUUCAGCGGCGGGCGGCUUGCAGCGGCAGGGAGGAGCGCCGGCGGCGUGCUGGCUAACUGCUCCGCUGGCGGUGCGAUACCGCACGCCCGCCUGCUUUUGGUGUGAGGGCGUGCGCUCCGGCGCUGUGCCCGGUGUGCCACGCGCGGUUCCGCGGAUCGCUGGAGGCUCGAGGCAGACUGCACAUCGGGCUUGAUGGUGCACGCAAUGGUGCGGCCGCGCACGUCUCACUCGCGCAGCAUGGGCCUCCCCCGUCGGGUGUCUGCGGCUGCUCCCUGUGCCCCUUCAGGGCGGCCGUGCGGAAGCUCUUUGUGCGCUGGCGCGUGAUUGUCCGCGUGCCCCUUCCACUUGCCACACACACCCGCUCCUGUCACGCGCGUGCGGAUUGAGGAGGUGGAGCGCCCCUGCCGGCACAGACUCGUAGCCGCGCCGACACGCCUCCUCCCUCUCCUCCCUCUCCUCCCGCUCCUCUCUCCCCUCGCAUGGCAUCGACGGGAAACAGCAGAUGAGGGCAGCGAGCCACCCCCCUUCCCCCCCUCCCCCCUCCCAAUGCACACAGUGGAUGCGUGCGAAGUGUGCGGCCUCUCCCCCAUGCGGCCGGGCGGGUGCGAUGAGGCACGACGAGAGCGCCGCGGAUGGCGCCGUCGAGCCCUCCCGACUGCGGUGUGAAGGGUGCCCACACCACCUUGUGGGAUGCCGCGGCUGGAAGCGACUGAGAGGGCGCAGCACGUGUGCGAAGGAAGGGACGAGGAAGGACAGGAGGAGCCUGCCUAGACGCGUGGCCCCGAUCCGGCGGCUGGACGCUGCGCCCUCGAGGACCCGGAUGUAGUCGCGGCGCCACAGGAGGUGGGUGCGCUGCGGUUGGAUGCGUAUACGUUUUCUGACUUGGGCGCGCUAGAUGGGCGCAUGAAAACAUACAAGAGACGUUUGUCGCCCAAGACAGCGUGAAUGCGUAGGGCAGGAUGGCGAGGGUGCGGCUGUGUGAUGGGUGUGCCUGUGGGGCGGCGUUUCGUUCGUCGUGAUGAGUUCGUCCUCCGUUUGCACGGCGUGCGCUGUGGCGGUGGUGGUGGUGAGCGGCGAAGAUGUGUUUUUGUUGCAUGCGCUCUCGGGAGGUUUUACUUGGCGUGAAUAUGAUACCGUGUCCGGAAAGGCCUCAAUACCAUUCGUUCUUGCUACCUUCCUCUUCUUCUCUCGGGAACACUAUGUGUCUGUUUCGAGUGUGCUCGCUGGACCCGUUAAACCUAGUUGACGUUCAUCGACUGCUUGUUCCCUUUUUUCCUGUCCGCGUCACUUUUGUGUAUUUCACGAAUUCCCGGUCUCAGGUGCCUUGUGUUGUAGGUGUACCCUCGAAUUUCCCUCUACGUUGCUCACGACGUCCGCGCUUUCUGAUCGGCGGCGCCUCACGCCUCCAUCCAAUUGCGAAGAGCACAGCUGUUGGCACACAAAAGCUAACUUGCCGACGAAGUCAAACGCCCAUGCGUGCGCCCACCGGCGUUCUUGGAGAUACCAGGACAAAUUGUUCACCUCGUCGCUACUUCUUGAUGCUCAAUUGAUUCCUACUUUCUGUCUUACCAACAACCCUGCGUGUGCUGCCGCCAACCAG
rnacentral:misc_RNA from 1 species